UCUCUUUACUCUGUGAAAAUUAACUACAAUGAACAAAAGCCAUGUUAAUAAUUAGCCUAAUACUAACAACGGCCGUUAAAUCCAAAGCCAAGGUUCAUGUGAUGCGUGUGACAGGACAUCACAGACCAAACAUGACUCAACCACCUACUGCUUCAUUCAACUGCUUACACAAAACCUCAGAAAUUCAAAAUCUAGUAAAUUUUCAAUUCCCAAACAUAUCGAUCAACAAGAUUUGCAAAGUUGUUCAAGAUCUACUCAAAUUUUGGAACACUAGACAAAGGAAUUUCCUAUAAACUCACUACAAACCCAGAAAGAUUCAUAAUCUACCUACUUUUCUAGUCGUCAGAUGUAAAAUAAAAAUCAAGAGUAUGAAAUCAAAUGAAAGACCCAAACUUUAAAAAGAAGAACGAGGGUAGUACCGAAACAGAGAACGAGGAAUAAAG